GAUGAAGAACGCAGCGAAAUGCGAUAAGUAAUGCGAAUUGCAGAAUUCAGUGAGUCAUCGAAUCUUCGAACGCACAUUGCGCCCUGUGGUAUUCCGCAGGGCAUGCCUGUUCGAGCGUCAUUUCAACCCUCAAGCCUCGCUUGGUGUUGGGCCCUGCCCGCCGCGGCCGGCCCUAAAGAUAGUGGCGGCGCCGCCUGGCCCUCAGCGUAGUACAGCUCUCGCUCCAGGGUCCGGCGGCAGCCUGCCAGAACCCCCCAACUCUGUGGUUGACCUCGGAUCAGGUAGGGAUACCCGCUGAACUUAAGCAUAUCAAUAAGCGGAGGA
rnacentral:misc_RNA from 1 species